rnacentral:rRNA from 1 species
GGAAUUUUCCGCAAUGGGCGAAAGCCUGACGGAGCAACGCCGCGUGAGGGAUGAAGGCCUCUGGGCUGUAAACCUCUUUUAUCAAGGAAGAAGAUCUGACGGUACUUGAUGAAUAAGCCACGGCUAAUUCCGUGCCAGCAGCCGCGGUAAUACGGGAGUGGCAAGCGUUAUCCGGAAUUAUUGGGCGUAAAGCGUCCGUAGGCGGUCUUUUAAGUCUGUCGUCAAAGCGUGGAGCUUAACUCCAUUUCUGCGAUGGAAACUGGGAGACUAGAGUGUGGUAGGGGCAGAGGGAAUUCCCGGUGUAGCGGUGAAAUGCGUAGAUAUCGGGAAGAACACCAGUGGCGAAGGCGCUCUGCUGGGCCAUAACUGACGCUCAUGGACGAAAGCCAGGGGAGCGAAAGGGAUUAGAUACCCCUGUAGUCCUGGCCGUAAACGAUGAACACUAGGUGUCGGGGGAAUCGACCCCCUCGGUGUCGUAGCCAACGCGUUAAGUGUUCCGCCUGGGGAGUACGCACGCAAGUGUGAAACUCAAAUGAAUUGACGG